rnacentral:rRNA from 1 species
UAGGGAAUCUUCGGCGAUGGGGGCAACCCUGACCGAGCAACGCCGCGUGAGUGAAGAAGGUUUUCGGAUCGUAAAGCUCUGUUGUAAGUCAAGAACGAGUGUGAGAGUGGAAAGUUCACACUGUGACGGUAGCUUACCAGAAAGGGACGGCUAACUACGUGCCAGCAGCCGCGGUAAUACGUAGGUCCCGAGCGUUGUCCGGAUUUAUUGGGCGUAAAGCGAGCGCAGGCGGUUUGAUAAGUCUGAAGUUAAAGGCUGUGGCUCAACCAUAGUUCGCUUUGGAAACUGUCAAACUUGAGUGCAGAAGGGGAGAGUGGAAUUCCAUGUGUAGCGGUGAAAUGCGUAGAUAUAUGGAGGAACACCGGUGGCGAAAGCGGCUCUCUGGUCUGUAACUGACGCUGAGGCUCGAAAGCGUGGGGAGCGAACAGGAUUAGAUACCCUGGUAGUCCACGCCGUAAACGAUGAGUGCUAGGUGUUGGAUCCUUUCCGGGAUUCAGUGCCGCAGCUAACGCAUUAAGCACUCCGCCUGGGGAGUACGACCGCAAGGUUG